GUUAUUUUGGCAGAAUAGUGCAAUAGAUUUAGAAUCUUUAAAUAUAAUUUAUAUAUUAUAAAUAAUA
rnacentral:tRNA from 1 species